rnacentral:rRNA from 1 species
GUGAGGAAUAUUGGUCAAUGGGCGAGAGCCUGAACCAGCCAAGUAGCGUGCAGGAUGACGGCCCUACGGGUUGUAAACUGCUUUUAUGCGGGGAUAAAGUGAGGGACUUGUCCCUUUUUGCAGGUACCGCAUGAAUAAGGACCGGCUAAUUCCGUGCCAGCAGCCGCGGUAAUACGGAAGGUCCAGGCGUUAUCCGGAUUUAUUGGGUUUAAAGGGAGCGCAGGCCGGUGUGUAAGCGUGACGUCAAAUACAGCCGCUCAACGGUUGUCCGCGUCGCGAACUGCAUGCCUUGAGUACGCUGCAAGUGGGCGGAAUUCGUGGUGUAGCGGUGAAAUGCUUAGAUAUCACGAAGAACUCCGAUUGCGAAGGCAGCCCGCUGUUGCGUCACUGACGCUGAGGCUCGAAGGUGCGGGUAUCGAACAGG